rnacentral:rRNA from 1 species
AACGAACGCUGGCGGCAGGCUUAACACAUGCAAGUCGAGCGCCCCGCAAGGGGAGCGGCAGACGGGUGAGUAACGCGUGGGAAUCUACCCAUCUCUACGGAAUAACGCAUGGAAACGUGUGCUAAUACCGUAUACGUCCUUCGGGAGGAAGAUUUAUCGGAGAUGGAUGGGCCCGCGUUGGAUUAGCUAGUUGGUGGGGUAAAGGCCUACCAAGGCGACGAUCCAUAGCUGGUCUGAGAGGAUGAUCAGCCACACUGGGACUGAGACACGGCCCAGACUCCUACGGGAGGCAGCAGUGGGGAAUAUUGGACAAUGGGCGCAAGCCUGAUCCAGCCAUGCCGCGUGAGUGAUGAAGGCCCUAGGGUUGUAAAGCUCUUUCACCGGUGAAGAUAAUGACGGUAACCGGAGAAGAAGCCCCGGCUAACUUCGUGCCAGCCGCCGCUGUAACAC